GACGAACGCUGGCGGCGUGCUUAACACAUGCAAGUCGAACGGUAAGGCCCUUCGGGGUACACGAGUGGCGAACGGGUGAGUAACACGUGGGUGAUCUGCCCUGCACUUCGGGAUAAGCCUGGGAAACUGGGUCUAAUACCGGAUAGGACUCCGGACUGCAUGGUCUGGGGUGGAAAGCUUUUGCGGUGUGGGAUGGGCCCGCGGCCUAUCAGCUUGGUGGUGGGGUGAUGGCCUACCAAGGCGACGACGGGUAGCCGGCCUGAGAGGGUGACCGGCCACACUGGGACUGAGAUACGGCCCAGACUCCUACGGGAGGCAGCAGUGGGGAAUAUUGCACAAUGGGCGCAAGCCUGAUGCAGCGACGCCGCGUGAGGGAUGACGGCCUUCGGGUUGUAAACCUCUUUCAGCAUCGACGAAGCGGAAGUGACGGUAGGUGCAGAAGAAGGACCGGCCAACUACGUGCCAGCCGCCGCAGUAA
rnacentral:rRNA from 1 species